UACGUAGGGUGCGAGCGUUGUCCGGAAUUAUUGGGCGUAAAGAGCUCGUAGGCGGUCUGUCGCGUCGAUCGUGAAAACUUGGGGCUUAACCCUGAGCUUGCGGUCGAUACGGGCAUGACUGGAGUUCGGCAGGGGAGACUGGAAUUCCUGGUGUAGCGGUGAAAUGCGUAGAUAUGUGGAGGAACACCAGUGGCGAAGGCGACUCUUUGGCCUGUAACUGACGCUGAGGCGCGAAAGCGUGGGGAGCAAACAGG
rnacentral:rRNA from 1 species